CUAUGCCUGGGCUGGACGAAGCUAGAGGAGACUUUGGUAGAGAUCUUUAGUGGUUCUGAUGUACAAAUUGAUCAUCAGAUCAGGGCCCAGGGGUGAAAGAAAUAA
rfam:Stegodyphus mimosarum contig54881, whole genome shotgun sequence.